UAGAGGCUCUUUGUAACUCGCUGCCUGGUAACUGAAUGAAAAGAGUGUGUUGCACUGAGAUUGAAGAAAAUUUCAAAUAGCAUGCAUAUUAUGAAAGACAGAUUCCAGUGAAACAAAAAACUGAGAAAAGCUCUUGUUUUAUUUAUUUUUUUCUCAGGAGGACACUUCAGUGUCUUUUAGAAUCCUCCUUUAAUUAGGCUACUCCUCAUGUGGCUCCUCCUUUAUUUUAAAAUAUUUUUAAAAUAUUUAACAUGGCUCAGGAGGUAAGAGCAGUUGUCUGGCAGUCGGAGGGUUGCCGGUUCGAUCCCCUGCCAUGGGCGUGUCGAAGUGUCCCUGAGCAAGACGCCUAACCCCUAAUUGCUCCCAACGAGCUGAUUGGUACCUUGCAUGGCAGCCUUUCACCAUUGGUGUGCGAGUGUGUGUGUGUGUGUGUGAAUGGGUGAAUUAGAGGCAUCAAUUUUAAAGCGUUUUGGAUAAAAGGGCUAUAUAAAUGCAGUCCAUUUACCAUUUAAAAUAUAAACAACUUUUUGCGUGUAGUUGGGAUGUUCCACUGUCUUCUGAAAACAUGACAAUCUUUUUCAAUUCAAUUACAUUUGUGUGGCGCUUUUUGCAGAGAACUGUCACAAAGACGCUUUCUGGCAAACUUCACUAAUUGGCUAGUAAUUAAAAAUCAUUUGUGCUGUAUGACAGGUUGAAUAUAUGUAACUAAUUCUUCUCCUGCAGUAAAUUCUAACAUGCAUUAUAUUCCCUUAGAAUGAGCCAGAUUUCAACUUCAAUUACCACUGUUUAUACAGCUGUAAUUUACCUUAAGGUACAUCAGUUCUGCUUUAUGGUCGCCGAAUGAUGAAAUCGGCUAAUGGAGGAGUGUACCAACGAAGUAGAAUCUUUUGAUUUUACCGAUUCUAAACUUUAUUUAAGCUAAUUUUUUAUUUUAUUUUUUUGGGGCAAUGUAAAUGUCUGACCAGACAACUCUUAAAUUAGCAGCACUUGAAAGCUGUCAUUUAAGGAAGGGGCUCCAGUGCACAGCAGCGCUAUAGCCCUCACUGCAGGGCUCUGUCUCAGCAGGGUGAUGGUGUGUGAACUCCCUACCCAAAACCGACUGGGAUAAGGCCACUGCCAUCAUGAAGCUUUCUGGGACACUAUCACAUUUGACCCCCCCAAAGGUAGAGAGCUCCUGGACAAACCCUCAUAUCAUCGCUCUCAAAACAAAACAAAACAAAAAAAAACAACCUGCUGCACCAAUCACAGGGAUGCGUGUGAGGGGAAUUACAAACCGGCACCAACACACGGCGGCGGCGUCACGCCAAUCGCUAAGGAAAAGAUUCCGUACUCAGACAGCGGGAGAAACUGAGGGAAGGGGGGAGUGUAGAGGGGUGCACCUGUGCACAAGGCUGCAUGCCAAGCACUCCAGUGCUCUCCAUUGGGGUUUCUUUGGGGGGAGGGUGGGGUGGGGGGGUGCUGUCACUGUCACUGGAGAUGAUAAGCGUCUUGUCUGGAGAACCCACUUGUCACCCUUAAGUGCGACUUACAUUUCCGUGUUAGAAACGUCAUCGUUGUCCUGAUUGUAUUGAUUACAUCUCUCUUAUUUCUAAACUAAAAUGUGUUCUGAAUGGAAGGGAA